CAAGGAAUGGAAAGGAAAGGCAAGGACGAAAGGAAGAAUAAGAAAGAAGGAUGGCAGAGGUUACAGUAAUAUAAAAGUUCUCAGGGGAGCAGUGUUGGGGGAGUGAUCACUUAUGCAGGUGAGUUGCAGGUAUUCCAGGACUAGAGGGCACUUUUUCUAAUAGUCUCAUGAAACCACCAAAAAGAAGCAGAAUUGGCCUCUAAUGUCAUAGGUCAGCUUGUCUGUUAAUUUCCCUGCUGGUCACUGAGAAACUCCACUUGCUCAAGUACAGAGAGUCAGUUACGUGGAAGAUCCAAGGGCAGGCUGUUCCAAGGCUGAGUCUUCUGUGGGUUGGUGAGCUGGCCAUUCUCAUUUGUCAACCCCUGGAAAAGCAGAGAGAUGGGUAGCAGACAUGAAGUCUGAUGCUGCCAUGCUCUGAGGAGGAAGGAAAGAAAAGGAAGAAGCAGGCUCCCCCGACUGAAGACUGUUGGGUUGGAAAACAUUGACUUGGCCUGACAGUUGAACAAGUCUCCUUUGACUUUUGCCAAGAGAAGAAAGGCUUCAGUGAUUAUGCUAUGGUUAACUCAAAAGUGGCUGUAGUGAAUAUCGUUAGCUUAUAAACGUGUAUUAAAAAGUCAGUUAUUUUCUAUUUAGGUGACUGCUGUCAGUAUCCCUGGUAAAAUAGGAAGAGAAUGAGAAUACCUUAGAAAUAAUACAGGUGCAAGGUUAGAUUCUUGCUUUAAUACUUGUAGAUGAACGGUCUUGGACAGCCACUUAACAUUUUAAAGCCUCCCUUUCUCACUGGUAAAAGGAGCCCAACAGUAGUUACCUAGCAGGGUUACUUAGGAUAUAGUUAACAUCCAUAUAGUGUCCGCAAUGCCUGGCUCACAGAGAUGUCCAACAAGUACUAACACCAUCCACUAAAUAUUGGAAAAUGUCUUUUCCCAUAUUAAUUUUUAGUUACACAUUUGGUUAACCUUUCUGUUCAUCAUAUUUCUUUGCUACUAAGUGUGUGUUCUACAUAUUUCGUUUACAUAUAAAAUGUGCAUCUUUGAUUUUGUUAAUCCUUUUGAGCCUACAAGUCAUUUUGUCCAUUGUUGAAACGGUUGAUUCUGGAAACAUGACACCAUCAGCCACAAAGAGCAAGCCGGAGGACACAUGAAGUCAAGUGACGUGAUGAGAGGGCUUUCUUUUGAUCAGGUAAUUGGGCAACACUCAAUUCUUUGGUUAUGGCAUUACAAAAGAAAUGCCACUAAGAACCUUUGAAACUGCUGACGGAAAAAACAGUCAUUGGAACAAAAUCUUGAACUUGGAAGAAUCUUAGCUGUCCAAGAGAACAGGCCUGCUGUUUUCUGGGAACACACACAACAGUAGAAUAAGGGGCAACAUGCCAAUUCAUUCAGAAUUAAGCUUUGCACUCAGGGAGAGUUGAAAUGAAGCUUCACCUAGCUCAAGGACCAAAUUAAUCACCACUGAACUCAGAUUUUACACACACUGAGAGAGAAACCAGUAGUUUUCAGUGAAUGAUGUUCGGCAUAUACUUACAUCCCAAACUGAAAGAAAUCUAAUAAUAGCAAGGAGACUUCUCUGCUAGCUGGGAUUUUCAGGAGAUAAUUACACCGCUGGAGGAUUAAAGUUUCCUGCUGGAGCCUCCCAUUGACUGAGCAUUUAGAAGCCAGUGGUCCAGGGAGUCUAUGAGACAGUCCAUGGAGGUCAGGCUUUCAAGUAUAAAUCAAGCCAUCCAAGAAAUUUACUGAGGACCCACUAUGUGCCUAACAAGGUGCUUCGUAUUGGUGAUACAAAGAGAGGACACAGUGACCCAGCCUUCAAGAAUCUUUCAGCUUACUAAGGAAGAUAGAUCUUGGAACACAUGAGCAUGAGCGGGGGAGGAGCAGAGAGAGAGGGAGCUGCAGAAUCUGAAAC